rnacentral:rRNA from 1 species
UUAAAUUGAAGAGUUUGAUCAUGGCUCAGAUUGAACGCUGGCGGCAGGCCUAACACAUGCAAGUCGAACGGUAACAGGAAGCAGCUUGCUGCUUCGCUGACGAGUGGCGGACGGGUGAGUAAUGUCUGGGAAACUGCCUGAUGGAGGGGGAUAACUACUGGAAACGGUGGCUAAUACCGCAUAACGUCGCAAGACCAAAGAGGGGGACCUUCGGGCCUCUUGCCAUCAGAUGUGCCCAGAUGGGAUUAGCUGGUUGGUGAGGUAACGGCUCACCAAGGCGACGAUCCCUAGCU